UGUUACCUAACUAAUUCUGAUUCAGCUACGACACUAUAUGAACAGCUUUAUAACAGGUUGUAUUACCUAUAUGAACAGGUUUAUAACAGGUUGUAUUGACUAUAUGAACAGGUUUAUAACAGGUUGUAUUGACUAUAUGAACAGGGUUUAUAACAGGUUGUAUUGACUAUAUGAACAGGUUUAUAACAGGUUGUUAUUACCUAUAUGAACAGGUUUUAUAACAGGUUGUAUUACCUAUAUGAACAGGUUUAUAACAGGUUGUAUUGACUAUAUGAACAGCUUUAUUAUAUGCAUAUCCUAGCUUCUGGGCCUGAGUAGCAGGCAGUUUACUUUGUUCACACUUUACACCGAACGGGGAAAUCGCGCCCCCAAGCCUAGAGAAGUUGUUUUUAGUUUAUAGUAGGUUUGUAUUUACUCCAUGAACGGUUUAUAACAGGUUGUAUUGACUAUAUGAACAGGUUUAUAAACAGGUUGUAUUGACUAUAUAAAACAUGUUUAUUAACAUUUGUAUUGCCUAUAUGAAAAGGUUUGUAACAGUUUAAAUUUCCUAUAUAAACAGGUUUGUAACAGUUUGUAUUGACUAUAUAAACAGGUUUAUAACAGUUUGUAUUGCCUAAAUAUACAGGUUUGUAACAGAUGCAUAACAGGUUUAAUAGCAGGUUUGUAUUGACUAUAUAAACAUGUUUAUAUCAGGUUUGUAUUGCUUAUAUGAACAGGUUUAAAAGAGGUUCAUAAUAAGUG